rnacentral:tRNA from 1 species
GCCCGGUUAGCUCAGUCGGUAGAGCGCAAGGCUCUUACAAAAGUGAAACCUUGUGGUCGUGGGUUCGAGCCCCACAUUGGGCG